rnacentral:rRNA from 1 species
AAGUCGUAACAAGGUUUCACCAGGUGACAGACCCUUCUGUAACUACGGAGACCGUGCAACCCCUCGGGGAGGCAGCGCGACUAUAAAGAAGCUGACCGUAUGCAAGUUAGCGGAUGCUAGCAACACAAUCGAAUUGCGGGGACCUCCUAAAGCCCUAGACACCACACUACCGCCGAAAGGCGAUAGCGACCGGUAAAAGUUCUAGGGAUGUCACAGUGGACGAUCCGCAGCGAAGACCCUACCGGCUUCGGCCCAAGGGUACCGCUCACAGACUAGGUGAUUGUGGGCAGGCAACUGUCUAAGAUAUAGUCGAGUCCUAGGCGAGAGUCUAGCGUAUUUCAGUCCGUAGGUGAACCUGCGGAAGGAUCAUUACUGAGCUCAUGCCCUCACGGGCAGAUCUCCACCCUUGAAUAUGUUACCUUUGUUGCUUUGGCAGGCCGCUUCGGCUACCGGCUUUGGCUGGUGAGUGCCUGCCAGAGGACCCUAAACCCUGAAUUACAGUAUCGUCUGAGUACUAUACAAUAGUUAAAACUUUCAACAACGGAUCUCUUGGUUCUGGCAUCGAUGAAGAACGCAGCGAAAUGCGAUAAGUAAUGUGAAUUGCAGAAUUCAGUGAAUCAUCGAAUCUUUGAACGCACAUUGCGCCCCUUGGUAUUCCGGGGGGCAUGCCUGUUCGAGCGUCAUUAUAACCCUCAAGCCUAGCUUGGUGUUGGGGCAUGCUCCGGGCAGCUCUUAAAUCAGUGGCAGUGUCUUCCGGCUUUAAGCGUAGUAAUCUCUCGCUAUAGGGUCCGGAGGUUCGCUCGCCAGAACCCCCAAUUUUCUAUGGUUGACCUCGGAUCAGGUAGGGAUACCCGCUGAACUUAAGCAUAUCAAUAAGCGGAGGAAAAGAAACCAACAGGGAUUGCCUCAGUAACGGCGAGUGAAGCGGCAACAGCUCAAAUUUGAAAUCUGGCUCUUUCAGGGUCCGAGUUGUAAUUUGUAGAAGAUGCUUUGGGUGUGGCUCCGGUCUAAGUUCCUUGGAACAGGACGUCAUAGAGGGUGAGAAUCCCGUAUGUGACUGGUUGCCUUCGUCCGUGUAAAGCUCUUUCGACGAGUCGAGUUGUUUGGGAAUGCAGCUCAAAAUGGGUGGUAUAUUUCAUCUAAAGCUAAAUAUUGGCCAGAGACCGAUAGCGCACAAGUAGAGUGAUCGAAAGAUGAAAAGCACUUUGGAAAGAGAGUUAAACAGUACGUGAAAUUGUUGAAAGGGAAGCGCUUGCAAUCAGACUUGCGCGCGGUUGAUCAUCCGGUGUUCUCACCGGUGCACUCUGCCGCGCUCAGGCCAGCAUCGGUUUCGGUGGUUGGAUAAAGGCCUUGGGAAUGUAGCUCCUUUCGGGGAGUGUUAUAGCCCUCGGUGCAAUGCAGCCUACCGGGACCGAGGACCGCGCUUCGGCUAGGAUGCUGGCGUAAUGGUUGCAAGCGAC